UACGGAGGGUGCGAGCGUUAUCCGGAGUUACUGGGCGUAAAGCGCGGGCAGGCGGUCUGACAAGUCUGAUGUGAAAUCUCCGGGCUUAACCGGGAGAGGCCAUUGGAAACUGACAGGCUGGAGGGCAGUAGAGGUAGGCGGAAUUCCGGGUGGAGUGGUGAAAUGCGUAGAGAUCCGGAGGAACACCAGAGGCGAAGGCGGCCUACUGGGCUGCACCUGACGCUGAGCCGCGAAAGCCAGGGGAGCGAACGGG
rnacentral:rRNA from 1 species